UUCUUCUUUUCCUUUUUCUUCUUCUCUUCUUCCCAAAGCUUCUUCUUCUUCUUCUUCUUUUCUUUCUUCUCCUCCCGCUAACCCAAGGAAGGGGGGAGAUCCCCCUUGUCAGAUCGCUCGUGAGGAGACUGGCCGAGGCUGACGACGCCCGCGGUAGGCCAGCGGUGCCCGUGGCCGAGCCGGGCGGUGCCUGUGGCCGAGAGCCGGCGACGCCGACGGCCACAGACAGAGGAAACAGAACAUGCAGAUAGGAGCGAGCCAAUAGAAAUAAUUGGUGCAGUCAGCAUGUCAGUCAUCAUCGGCUGGGCCUAACUGAUAGCUGUUACAUUUGCAGUGAAGAACAUUCCAUCUCUUAAGCAAUGACAAUGAAGCUGGUGGUUAUGCAAUUGCUGAGGUUUUCUAUCUCGCCUUCAAGAAUAGAUGUGGUAGUGGAAAUGGGGGAAUCGUUUGUUUGGUUGGAUUGCAGUUGUUUGGGUGGCAACUGUCGCAGUUUUGUUGUCUCUACCAAUUGCUUCUCCUGUUGCUGUUGGAGGAGUGCUCGUCCUUACCCUUUCUUCAUGGAUCCUGAGCGCAAGGCAUUGAACUCUGCUAUGGUAUCAUGUUAAAAUCACCACUUGUCCCAAUAAUUUAAGCUAAUAUGAUGAGGUAGAUUUAUUUAUACAGAGGCCCUAUAAGAAACAUUGAUGUAUGAACGAAUGUAAUACCAAUCGAUAUGUACAGACAUUUUACAUGAUCAAACAAAUUAAACACCGGGCAGCAUUUAUUACA